rnacentral:piRNA from 3 species
UGAGCAGUGGAGCCGAGGCCAGAAUUCAGU